GUUUUGGGGCUAGAAGUUGCGGACUAGUAGCUGAGGCGGCACGGGAGUGUAGGCGCGCGGGGUCGUUGCCGGGGGCACAGAGUGAGAACAAGCAAGGGAGCCCUGCUGAAUUGCAGCUUAGGAAGCCCUGAAUCCUGGAG
rnacentral:misc_RNA from 1 species